AGCAGCCGCGGUAAUUCCAGCUCCAAUAGCGUAUAUUAAAGUUGUUGCAGUUAAAAAGCUCGUAGUUGAAUUUCGGGAUCAAUACGUCGGUCGUGCUUAGGUACGUACUGGCGUAAUUGAUUUCUCCCUUCUGACGAACCAUGAUGUCAUUAACUUGGUGUCAUGGGAAAUCGAGGACUGUUACUUUGAAAAAAUUAGAGUGUUUAUAGCAAGCUAACGCUUGAAUACAUUAGCAUGGAAUAAUGAAAUAGGACGUUCGAUCCUAUUUUGUUGGUUUCUAGGAUUGACGUAAUGAUUAAUAGGGAUAGUUGGGGCAUUAGUAUUCAAUUGUCAGAGGUGAAAUUCUUGGAUUUAUUGAAGACUAACUACUGCGAAAGCAUUUGCCAAGGAUGUU
rnacentral:rRNA from 1 species